AAAGGAUGUGUUGUUGGACCAAAGAAGAGGGUUCUUACUCUCCGUAAGUCUCUCCUUGUCCACACAAAGAGAUCAGCUYUAGAGAAGGUGACAUUGAAGUUCAUCGACACCUCAUCCAAGUUUGGUCAUGGCCGCUUCCAGCAUCCUGCAGAGAAGAGAGCUUUCAUGGGCUUGCUCAAGAAAGACAGGGAAAGGGAAUUGACUGCUGGUGCCGAAUAAAGUGUAACAAUAAACUGCACAAUAAAAAUAUCGAAUUGCUAAAA